rnacentral:rRNA from 1 species
GGUAGGGAUACCCGCUGAACUUAAGCAU